rnacentral:lncRNA from 1 species
CAGGCAGGUGGAUUACGAGAUCAAGAUAUCGAGACCAUCCUGGCCAACAUAGUGAAACCCCAUCUUUACCAAAAAUACAAAAAUUAGCUGGGCGUGGUGGCACACACCUGUAAUCCCAGCUACUUGGGAGGCUGAGGCACUAGAAUUGCUUGAACCGCAGAGGCAGAGUUUGCAGUUAGCAAACUCUGCACUCCAGACUAGGCAAUAGAGUGAGACCCUGUCUCAAAAGAAAGAAAGAAAAAAAAUUAAAGAAACCAUGAACUCAGUAGCAGAUACUCCGUUUCUCCUAGCAGCUCUGCCCACCUCCAGGGUGACAAUUCAUGUAGCCUUGUUUUCCCCCAGGUCUGUGAAACAGGGAUCACAAGGAGUUGAGGAAGAGAAGGGGUCUCUGACAACCCAUGGAGACUCCUCAGCAGCUCCUCCUCCAGGUCUGCAAGCAACAAAUCCAGUCCCAAAGACACCAGGCCAGGCUCACAAACCCGCUUGCUGAAGGAAGAGAAAGGGGUCCAGGUGUUCCUCGUACUGAGAGGAGUACCGCAGCUUUGUGUCAUCAGUGCCGC